UCUGAGGUCCGUGCUGAUCGCCACGGCUCGCGCCCAUCUCUGGAGCUCAUUUAGGCGGUGCUCUGAAUCCCAUUUCCUCACGUACCCCGAAACAAUAGUCUCUUGUCUCUUAGGCAGGUCAAGACAUUCUCCUGGACUCCCUCCCGGCUAGCCGUGGCGCACUAGCCCCUUCCAGCUGUGUUCACAUAGCCAACCCCAGUCCUCUCCCUGGGAUCUGACCUCCGAAGCCCGAGCCUCAUCUCCCAGCUCCUGCCCUUCCCGGCGGGUGUUCUGCGACUCUUUGUUGGAAGCCGUCUAUCUCUAGGAACCUCCCUCCCUCGGCCCUAUGAAAGUAACUGUAGUCCUGAGAACCUGUUACUGAUGGCAUACAUCACAGCUUGCAGCACCUGUAGCUCUCAUGCUGGCACCUUCCUGUCCAGCUCCUCUUUCCCGGGAUGCCGCCUCCAGACCCGCUCCAUGGCCCUUCUCCUGAGAGUCUCUACUCCUGCUAUUCCUUACCCCACCACGGGUUGGCUGUGCCUGUUUGAAAUACCAGACUCUUCUGUGGUGCCCAUAUCGGUUGCUCCCAGAGCCCUCAGCUCACACCUGCUCCGUGGCACUUCUCAUCCUGCAGUGCAAUUGUAGGCUCACACGCCGGUCUCCCCUCCUAGACUGUAAGCAUCCAAAGCACGGGGCAUUCCAUUUCCUUUGUACCCUUAGGAUUUAGUACAGUGUCUGGGACAGACUAGGCGUUCAAUAGGUGCUUCUGGGAUGAGUCACAUCCCUAGUUCCCCGGCCACCACUCAGCAAGGUCACAGCUUGACUUGACCUAAUGAUCCGCUUGCCGUGGGUCUGAAUGUUGAAGGCGAGGCCCCCAGUGACUGGCACGCAGACCUGUGAGGCAAGUGCUCUGGACCUUCAUUUCUUCAGUCAUUCAUCACUUCAAACAUCUUUUAAGCACCUACUGUUGUCAGGGAUUGGACAAUGAACAAAACAUAUUCUGUUCUCAAUAAGUUCAACAUAGGGCAUGGCAGAGCUGGAAAAUCUCCCUUUUCCACUUGACGCCAUAGGUGCGGUAGGAUAGAGACUUGAAGUUACAUGUCUGGGUGUGUAGCAGGCUCUUAAAGGUUUGUUGAUAACUUAUUUUGGGGUGUGUAUUUCCAAUAUCUUGGGUGAACACUCUGGUAUCAUGGUGCAGAGUGUCAGCCAAGGAAUAGAGGCUGUUCUUUGUGGUUCAUUUAAUGCUAUUGGAAACCCAUUUUGGUUGUCUGCACUCUCCUGGCCAGUCACAGCUUCCACAUCCUCCAUUGUUCUCUACCUUAGAAAAAAAAAAGACUGAAAAUCUUUUUGUGACAGUCCUGCAAUUUUUGCUUGCCUCCCCAAAGUAAUAUUCCAGGCAUUAAAAAUGUAAUUUGCCUUGUGAUUCGGGGGAGUGGUAAAUCUUGUGCCAAGGACCAUUUUUGGAUAAGAGAUCGCUAGAAUUAUGAAAUUCUCAAGGUGUGUGAUGGGAAACUGGGGUUGGGCUGUGAGGAGAGGAAAGAGGGCAGUGAGUCUGUACUUUGCUCUGGUGGGGAACAGCAGCCAUGGAUGAAUUUAUUUACACACAGAUGUAGUUUUGGGCUUUUGUGGUUUUUUUUCUCAAUAAUGUACCAUGUCUAAGAUACAGUACAAUCACUUUUUCAUAGUUGAAAGCACAUCCUGUAAAUGUAUAAAAGUUAAUCCCUUGAUAUAUAAAAAAAUCUACUUUAAGUAGGUAAUGCAUGCCUGUGAUAUGAAUGUA